AUGAAGAAGAGGUGGUUAUCGGAAGAUGAUGAUGGGUUUAGACAACAGUGGAUAGGGAUAGCAACAGGGCUGUUUUUUGCAGCAAAGUUUGGACAGUGUUGGGCUGUUUGUGGACAGCAACAAGGUGGGCAGGUUAUGGGAGGUUGUGUGAGUUUGUGGACAAGGGUUUGGCAUGAAUAUGGAUUCAAAAUACUUGGUUUUGUAGAAUUAGCCAAGUUAUCUCAAGGAAGACAAAUAUACCUUGUAGUUUUAGUCUUGUAG